CACGUAGGGCGCAAGUGUUGUCCGGAAUUAUUGGGCGUAAAGAGCUCGUAGGUGGUCUGUUGCGUCCGCUGUGAAAACUCGGGGCUUAACCCCGAGCCUGCAGUGGAUACGGGCAGACUAGAGGUAGGUAGGGGAGAAUGGAAUUCCUGGUGUAGCGGUGAAAUGCGCAGAUAUCAGGAGGAACACCGGUGGCUAAGGCGGCUCUCUAGUACGGUACUGACGCUGAGACGCGAAAGCGUGGGGAGCGAACAGG
rnacentral:rRNA from 1 species